rnacentral:lncRNA from 10 species
CCACUGCGCUCCAUCCAGCCUGGGUGACAAGAGCGAAACUCCGUCUCAAAGAAAAAACUAAAACUCUUCCCAUGGUUUCCUUUUAAAACAGACCCUCCAUGACCAACCCCUCCAUUUCAAUACCAGAGAGCCUAACCCGACCUGAAAUCACUUUAGUCAUGUAUGACAUCCGCUUCCCAGCCCCCUUCCUUAAUGCUCUGGGUUCUGGAGACAGACCACGUCUGUUGGGAGUCCUCUGUGCCCACGCCUGGCACAGAGCCUGGCAAAGAGUAAGCGCUCAAGGAAGAUCUGUGAACUUGAUGCAUGCUAAAAGGAAGCCCCGCGCUCUGCCGGGGCCCUGGAACUCAGGCCACCGGCUCCAGGCGGAAGCGAGCCCAAAGCCGGCCAGGCGGCAGCAUCCGCUACCCCGUGGCUCAAGCCAGGCUCCGAGUUGUUGUGCCAAGAAAAGGCCUGAAUCAGGGUGAUGGAAGCUGUAAGGAGACAAGUUUGGAAUGAGUUUUAACAAUCAAGUUGCCUCAAUUCCGUCGUUGGGAGACUUGUUUUUAAUCGAGCAGCAAAUAGCAAAAGGUCGGUAGCCUUAUCCUUAUGUAUAGGAUAAGGAUAAUGAUAGUACCUACUUCAUAGUGAUGACGUGAGGAUAGUAAAUAAAAUAAAGACCAAGCAAGCUAAGCACAAGGACUGGCAUGCCACAAACACACAACCACACUGGAGGAUACAAGACGGAUCCUAGAAGGAUUUCAUCCAGAGUCAGUCAAGCUCUCCCUCCAAAUGCUCUCAGCUGAGGCUUGCUUUCCGCCUGGGACUGGUCCAGAAAGCCCUGCAGAACAUACUCUCUCUGUUUCCCAAACUCAAGGACCCUAAUCCCCAAACAUCUGCCUUUAAUCCUGGAGACAGUAAAAGUUCGGAGGAGGGUGCCAGACACAGGCUGAAAACACAAGUGAUGCUCCUGGCUUUCUGUGUCUUACUGCCUCCCUCUCUGGUAACUGGAGGGGAGGUUUCCUUCAGUUCCGUAACUGAAGGGCCUGGUUUCCAGGUGCCCAGCCCAGAUGGGAUAGCUCUGAAAAAUGGUGGAGGCAGGGGCGAGUUCAGUUCAUGCCUAGGGUAAUCAGAGGGGAGUCGGCAACCUCCAGGGCUCCCACGCUACAGGAGCAACAUGCUGGAGCCCACAGGCUUCCACCUGCCUUGGGGCUCAGCCUUUGCAUGUUCAGGGGUGCCUCAAGCUCAGUUUGUUUGAACAGACCUCUGCUCCGUCCCUCAUCUGGAUGCAGGAACAAGACUCCCAGCCUCAAGAAUCACUUGAAGCCAGCAGUUCAAGACCAGCCUGGGCAACAUAGUGAGACCCCUGUCUCUACAAAAAAUUUAAAAAACAAUAGCCAGGUGUGGUGGUGAGUGCCUGUAGUCCCAGCUACUACGGAGGCCUGAGAUGGCAGGAUCGCCUGAGCCCAGGAGUUCAAGGCUGCAGUGAGCCGUGAUUGUGCCACUGUACUCCAGCCUGGGUGACAGAGCAAGACUCCAUCUCUAACUAAAAGUAAUAAUAAUAAUAAUAAAGUAAUAAUCAUAAUAAAAUU